rnacentral:rRNA from 1 species
CCUACGGGCGGCAGCAGUCGAGAAUCAUUCACAAUGGGGGAAACCCUGAUGGUGCGACGCCGCGUGGGGGAAUGAAGGUCUUCGGAUUGUAAACCCCUGUCAUGUGGGAGCAAAUUAAAAAGAUAGUACCACAAGAGGAAGAGACGGCUAACUCUGUGCCAGCAGCCGCGGUAAUACAGAGGUCUCAAGCGUUGUUCGGAAUCACUGGGCGGAAAGCGUGCGUAGGCUGUUUCGUAAGUCGUGUGUGAAAGGCGCGGGCUCAACCCGCGGACGGCACAUGAUACUGCGAGACUAGAGUAAUGGAGGGGGAACCGGAAUUCUCGGUGUAGCAGUGAAAUGCGUAGAUAUCGAGAGGAACACUCGUGGCGAAGGCGGGUUCCUGGACAUUAACUGACGCUGAGGCACGAAGGCCAGGGGAGCGAAAGGGAUUAGAUACCCCGGUAGUC